CCUCUUUUUAGAGGUUGCAAUAACCAGACCCAAGCGACUGUUUACCAAAAACACAGGUUUCUGCUAAGACGCAAGUCGAAGUAUAGGAGCUGACGUCUGCCCGGUGCUGGGAGGUCAAGGAGAAGUGUUAGGACUUUGUCCGAAGCAUUGAACUUAAGCCCCAGUAAACGGCGGCCGUAACUAUAACGGUCCUAAGGUAGCGAAAUUCCUUGUCGGGUAAGUUCCGACCUGCACGAAUGACGAAACGACUUGGGUGCUGUCUUAACAAAGAGCUCGGUGAAAUUGUAGUGUCUGUGAAGAUGCAGGCUACUCGCAGAAGGACGGAAAGACCCCGUGGAGCUUUACUGCAGUCUGACAUUGGACUUUGAUACAUUACGUACAGGAUAAGUGGGAGGCUAUGAAGUUGGCAUGCUAAUGUCAACGGAGCCACCCUUGGGAUACCACUCUUAAUGUGUCGAAGUUCUAACCAUGUGCUGUGAUCCAGCAUUGGGACAGUAUCAGAUAGGCAGUUUGACUGGGGCGGUCGACUCCUAAAGAGUAACGGAGUCGCCCCAAGGUUCCCUCAGUGCGGUCGGAAAUCGCACGAAGAGUGUAAAGGCAGAAGGGAGCUUGACUGCAAGACAUACAGGUCGAGCAGGUACGAAAGUAGGGCUUAGUGAUCCGAUGGUAGAGAAUGGAAUUGCCAUCGCUCAACGGAUAAAAGUUACCCCGGGGAUAACAGGCUUAUCUUACCCAAGAGUUCACAUCGACGGUAAGGUUUGGCACCUCGAUGUCGGCUCGUCGCAUCCUGGAGCUGAAGAAGGUUCCAAGGGUUGGGCUGUUCGCCCAUUAAAGCGGCACGCGAGCUGGGUUCAGAACGUCGUGAGACAGUUCGGUCCCUAUCCGCUGCGAGCGAAGGAUAUUUGUGGGGAACUAUCCCUAGUACGAGAGGACCGGGAUGGACGCACCGCUGGUGGACCAGUUGUUAGCCAAGAGCAUAGCUGGGUAGCUAAGUGCGGAGAAGGUAAACGCUGAAAGCAUCUAAGCGUGAAACAGACCCCAAGAUGAGAUGUCCCAAUUUAGUAAGAUCCCUGUAAGAUUAACAGGUAGAUAGGCCAGAGGUGUAAGGGUGGUAACAUCCUCAGCUGACUGGUACUAAUAGAUCGAGGACUUAAUCUA
rnacentral:rRNA from 1 species